AAGUCGUAACAAGGUUUCCGUAGGUGAACCUGCGGAAGGAUCAUUAUUGAAUAUUCUUGAUGAGUUGUAGCUGGCUCUCCGGGGCAUGUGCACGCUUGUCUUGACUCUAUUCAUCCACCUGUGCACCUUUUGUAGUCUUGGGGGUUGAAAGCAGUCGACUAUCGGAUGGCUACGGCUACUCCGGAUGUGAGAAAUGCUGAGCGCAGAGACGCACACAGCUCUUCUCAAAUGACUUGCAUACCCUUGAGUACUAUGUAUUCAUAUACCACGUCGUAUGUUGCAGAAUGUGAUCAAUGGGUCUAUGUACCUAUAAUAAUCAUAUACAACUUUCAGCAACGGAUCUCUUGGCUCUC
rnacentral:misc_RNA from 1 species